rnacentral:rRNA from 1 species
GACGAACGCUGGCGGCGUGCCUAAUGCAUGCAAGUCGCACGCGGCACCUUCGGGUGCUGAGUGGCGAACGGCUGAGGAACACGUGGGGACCUGUCCGGGAGUGGGGGACAACACCGCGAAAGCGGUGCUAAUCCCGCAUACGCUCUGAGGAGGAAAGCCGAAAGGCGCUCCCGGGUGGCCCUGCGGCCCAUCAGGUUGUUGGUGGGGUAACGGCCUACCAAGCCAAUGACGGGUCGCUGGUCUGUGAGGACGACCAGCCAGACUGGGACUGGGACACGGCCCAGACCCCAACGGGGGGCAGCAGCAAGGAAUUUUCGGAAAGGGGGGCAAGCCUGACCGGGCAACCCCGGGUGAAGGAAGCCGGCCUUCGGGUUGUAAACUGUUUUUGUGAGGGAUGAUAACGGACAGUCCCUGGCGAAUCAGCCCCGGCUACCUCUGU